CUUACUUCUGUGCAUUUAUUUAUGUAUUUGUCUGUGAACUUGUUUUCUUCCUUGUUAGCUCAUUGGAGGGAGCCUUGUUCAGUUGGAAACGCCACGCAUGGUGAGAAGGGUCGGCUUCUUAUCCGACAGCCAGAGCCCCUUUGGUUCCGGGAUGAAGACUCAGCCUGUUCCAAGGAACCAAACCCCAAUAACUGCUCACAAUCAAUGAUCCAUUGCCAUCAGCAGGUAUUCUUUAUUAUAUAGGGACAGAGAACAGUGCUAACACCCAAAGCAGUUUUCUCCCUUUGUUUCUGCGUGCAUGCUUGUAUUUACAAAAAUAUGACAUAUUCGUUAGAUGUCCACAAAGCCUGAUACAUGGUCACACUAUUUCCCCAAAUGCCCAUAUCUCUUCCAGGAUCUCUGUCUCCCUCCCCUUUCCUUCCUUUCUAUGGUUUCUUUCUUCCAAAUGGAUUUGAGUUGGAGGUCACACACCCUCAAUUGGGCGGUCCCUCAGGAAGCUUUGGCUCACAGAACUGCAGUGUUCUCACUCAACACAAACACUGGCUCCUCCUUACUCUGUUUGAGUUAUUGUGGUUUUGUAUGCUGUGCAGUUAUUGAUCUAUGAAGCUUAACUCCUGUGCUUAUUGCGAGGCGCAGUUCAUCUCUCAAUCUGAUUCUUCAGAUGGUUUUUCUGGAAAAGAAAUAAAAAGGAACGGAUGCUGAGGUGGGACAGCUUGUCAUGCCAUGGGAAACCCUGUAUUGCUUUGGUUUGGGAAAGACUCACCCUAUUCUUCAGUUUCUACCACUGGAAAAAAGGAAUAGGAAAGCAAUGCACGAUGAGAUGGGACAGGUUGUCAUGCCAUGGAUUGCCCCAUAUUCCUUUGGUUUGUGGACAAAGACUCACCCACUGCUUCAGUUUGUUCUGCUGGAAAAGAGAGAAAAGCACCGCAUGAAGAGAGGAACAUCUCAUCCCACAGCUCACACAGGAAGACCCCAACGAUUUUAAUAUGGGAGGGGAGACUCACCCAUCUCCUCAUGGCGCUCCUCUGGCAAAGGAGGAGAAAAGCAGUGCAUGGUCAGAGGGGAUUUUUCAUGCCAUACGCAGUCCCUUGAAAGGACCCCCCAUUCCCUCAGUUCAGUGACUGCAACUUACUCAGCUCCGAUUUCUGUUUCUCUGCAAAAAAGAAAGAAGAAGCACCUCAUGAGGAGGUGGCACAGCUUGUCAUCCCAUGGGAAACCCGUAUUUCUUUGGUGGGGGAAAGAAGACUCACCCAAUUCUUUAG
ensembl:lncRNA